GGUCCAGACUCCUACGGGAGGCAGCAGUGAGGAAUCUUCCACAAUGGGCGAAAGCCUGAUGGAGCGACGCCGCGUGCAGGAUGAAGGCCUUCGGGUUGUAAACUGCUUUUAUAAGUGAAGAAUAUGACGGUAACUUAUGAAUAAGCACCGGCUAACUACGUGCCAGCAGCCGCGGUCAUACGUAGGGUGCAAGCAUUAUCCGGAGUGACUGGGCGUAAAGAGUUGCGUAGGUGGACAAGUAAGCGAAUAGUGAAAUCCAACGGCUCAACCGUAUGGACUAUUCUUCGAACUGCUUGUCUCGAGAAUGGUAGAGGUAACUGGAAUUUCUAGUGUAGGAGUGAAAUCCGUAGAUAUUAGAAGGAACACCAAUGGCGUAGGCAGGUUACUGGACCAUUUCUGACACUGAGGCACGAAAGCGUGGGGAGCGAACCGGAUUAGAUACCCGGGUAGUCCACGCCGUAAACUAUGGAUACUAGCUGUUGGGGGUAUCGACCCCCCCAGUAGCGAAGCUAACGCGUUAAGUAUCCCGCCUGUGGAGUACGGUCGCAAGACUAAAACAUAAAGGAAUUGACGGGGAGCCGCACAAGCGGUGGAUCAUGUUCUUUAAUUCGAUGAUAAACGAAGAACCUUACCAGGGUUUGACAUCCUUGGAAUCUUGCCGAAAGGCAGGAGUGCUUUAUUGAGCCAAGUGACAGGUGCUGCAUGGCCGUCGUCAGCUCGUGUCGUGAGAUGUUUGGUUAAGUCCAUUAACGAGCGCAACCCUUGUGAUUAGUUGUAUUUUUCUAAUCAGACUGCCCCGGCAACGGGGAGGAAGGAGGGGAUGAUGUCAGGUCAGUAUUGCCCUUACACCCUGGGCUAGAAACGUGAUACAAUGGCCAGCACAAUGCGCAGCGAAGCCGCGAGGUGAAGCAAAUCGCAUCAAAACUGGUCCCAGUUCGGAUAAGAGGCUGAAACUCGCCUCUUUGAAGUUGGAAUCGCUAGUAAUCGCAGAUCAGCAUGCUGCGGUGAAUACGUUCCCGGCUCUUGUACACACCGCCCGUCAAACCAUGAAAGUCACCAACACCCGAAGUCCGAUUCGUCGGCCUAAGGUGGGGGGGAUGAUUGGGGUUAAGUCGUAACAAGGUAUCCGUACCGGAAGGUGCGGAUG
rnacentral:rRNA from 1 species